GGGUGAUUAGCUCAGUUGGGAGAGCAUCUGCUUUACACGCAGAGGGUCGGCGGUUCGAACCCGUCAUCACCCACCA
rnacentral:tRNA from 3 species